rnacentral:rRNA from 1 species
GACGAACGCUGGCGGCGUGCUUAACACAUGCAAGUCGAACGGAAAGGCCCUGCUUUUGUGGGGUGCUCGAGUGGCGAACGGGUGAGUAACACGUGAGUAACCUGCCCUUGACUUUGGGAUAACUUCAGGAAACUGGGGCUAAUACCGGAUAGGAGCUCCUGCUGCAUGGUGGGGGUUGGAAAGUUUCGGCGGUUGGGGAUGGACUCGCGGCUUAUCAGCUUGUUGGUGGGGUAGUGGCUUACCAAGGCUUUGACGGGUAGCCGGCCUGAGAGGGUGACCGGCCACAUUGGGACUGAGAUACGGCCCAGACGCCUACGGGAGGCAGCAGUGGGGAAUAUUGCAGAAUGGGCGGAAGCCUGAUGCAGCAACGCCGCGUGCGGGAUAACGUCCUUCGGGUUGUAAACCGCUUUCGCCUGUGACGAAGCGUGAGUGACGGUAAUGGGUAAAGAAGCACCGGCUAACUACGUG